rnacentral:rRNA from 1 species
CCUACGGGAGGCAGCAGUGAGGGAUAUUGCGCAAUGGCCGAAAGGCUGACGCAGCGACGCCGCGUGGGUGAGGAAGGCCUUCGGGUCGUAAAGCCCUGUCGGUGGGGAAGAAAGGAUCUAAGGUGAACAAUCUUAGGUAGUGACGGUACCCACGGAGGAAGCACCGGCUAACUCCGUGCCAGCAGCCGCGGUGAUACGGAGGGUGCAAGCGUUACUCGGAAUCACUGGGCGUAAAGGGCGCGUAGGCGGCCUAGCAAGUCUGGUGGGAAAGCCCAGGGCUCAACCCUGGAAGGGCACUGGAAACUGUUAGGCUUGAGUUCCGGAGAGGAGGGGGGGAAUUCCCGGUGUAGCGGUGAAAUGCGUAGAUAUCGGGAGGAAUACCGGUGGCGAAGGCGCCCCUCUGGACGGAAACUGACGCUGAGGCGCGAAAGCGUGGGGAGCAAACAGGAUUAGAUCCCCCUGUAGU